UACGGAGGGCGCGAGCGUUAAUCGGAAUUACUGGGCGUAAAGCGCGCGUAGGUUGUUGUGUAAGUUGGGGGUGAAAUCCCACGGCUCAACCGUGGAACAGCCCUUGAUACUGCGCGACUUGAAUCCGGGAGAGGGUGGCGGAAUUCCAGGUGUAGGAGUGAAAUCCGUAGAUAUCUGGAGGAACAUCAGUGGCGAAGGCGGCCACCUGGACCGGUAUUGACGCUGAGGCGCGAAAGCGUGGGGAGCAAACAGG
rnacentral:rRNA from 1 species